GCUUGGAAGAAAAUGAUAUCUUCAAGGAUCAUCGAGCCUCUGUGCUGUUUUUGUCUUUGUGACUGCCGAAUACCAAACUCCAAAGAAUUCGCUUAACCAGGAAAAUGCACUAUGAACAUGCUGUAUUUAUUGAACGUGUUCGAUAGGCUUCAAAAAAGGACAGGAUGAAGAUGAAGUUUUCUUAAACAAUUUGCACUUGUGUUUUAUGUCAUUAAUUAGUAUUGAAACUUCAACGUUGUAUUUGUUACUUGUAAUAAUAUUUUUCGAUAUUGUGAUUAUAUGAUGAGUAUUGUUCGAUAUUGUGGAUUGAUGAAUGAGUAUUCAUUUGGGAUAUGAAUGUAUAUCAUGGUUGAUUUUAUGAAAUAUUGUUAUUGGAUUGAUGUCGAUAUAGGCUAUAUGUGUAUUCUCGUAUGGGAGGCUACCAGAAAAUCAAAAUUUUUUUUGCGUAAAUAUAUACAUUGGCGACAGAUU